UUUGCUUUAAGGAUAGUGCUUAAUUCACUAAGAUGAAUCAAUACCCCAUUUAUUCGGUUCAUUUACUCAUUUUGGCUCCGGUAUGUAGCCGCAUUAGUCAAGUUCUGCAUGAAUACUUUUGUAGGGAUGGUAUGCCUCAAAUGUAAUAAUCAUUUUAGGUGGUGGGAUGAUUUUUACCUCUUAGUAUACAGGCGACAUCCACUUCACAUUUCUUAGGUCACC
rnacentral:lncRNA from 1 species